rnacentral:rRNA from 1 species
CCCAUAUGGUCGACCUGCAGGCGGCCGCGAAUUCACUAGUGAUUCGUAUUACCGCGGCUGCUGGCACAGAGUUAGCCGGUGCUUAUUCUGUCGGUAACGUCAAAACAGCAAGGUAUUCGCUUACUGCCCUUCCUCCCAACUUAAAGUGCUUUACAAUCCGAAGACCUUCUUCACACACGCGGCAUGGCUGGAUCAGGCUUUCGCCCAUUGUCCAAUAUUCCCCACUGCUGCCUCCCGUAGGAGUCUGGACCGUGUCUCAGUUCCAGUGUGACUGAUCAUCCUCUCAGACCAGUUACGGAUCGUCGCCUUGGUGAGCCAUUACCUCACCAACUAGCUAAUCCGACCUAGGCUCAUCUGAUAGCGCAAGGCCCGAAGGUCCCCUGCUUUCUCCCGUAGGACGUAUGCGGUAUUAGCGUUCCUUUCGAAACGUUGUCCCCCACUACCAGGCAGAUUCCUAGGCAUUACUCACCCGUCCGCCGCUGAAUCGAAGAGCAAGCUCUUCUCAUCCGCUCGACUUGCAUGUGUUAGGCCUGCCGCCAGCGCUCAAUCUGAGCCAUGAUCAAACUCUAAUCGAAUUCCCGCGGCCGCCAUGGCGCCCGGGAGCAUGCGACGU